rnacentral:rRNA from 1 species
GUUAAGAAUCUUGCGCAAUGGGGGGAACCCUGACGCAGCGACGCCGCGUGGAUGAUGAAGGCCUUCGGGUUGUAAAGUCCGGUAAGCAGGGAAGAAUAAGUGUGGGGUAAUAUUCCACAUGAUGACGGUACCUGCCUAAAGCCCCGGCUAACUACGUGCCAGCAGCCGCGGUAAUACGUAUGGGGCAAGCGUUGUUCGGAAUUAUUGGGCGUAAAGGGCGUCUAGGCGGGGGAUUAAGUUAGAUGUGAAAGCUAUGGGCUCAACCCAUAAAUUGCAUCUAAGACUGGUUCUCUUGAGUCCGGGAGAGGAGAGCGGAAUUCCAGGUGUAGCGGUGAAAUGCGUAGAUAUCUGGAAGAACACCAGUGGCGAAGGCGGCUCUCUGGCCUAGGACUGACGCUGAAGCGCGAAAGCGUGGGGAGCGAACAGGAUUAGAUACCCCUGUAGUCC